rnacentral:rRNA from 1 species
UACGUAGGGCGCAAGCGUUGUCCGGAAUUAUUGGGCGUAAAGAGCUCGUAGGCGGCCUGUUGCGUCCGCUGUGAAAUCCCGGGGCUCAACCCCGGGCCUGCAGUGGAUACGGGCUGGCUAGAGGCAGGCAGGGGAGAACGGAAUUCCUGGUGUAGCGGUGAAAUGCGCAGAUAUCAGGAGGAACACCGGUGGCGAAGGCGGGUCUCUGGGCCGAUAUUGACGCUGAGGAGCGAAAGCGUGGGGAGCAAACAGG